rnacentral:rRNA from 1 species
UACGAAGGGGGCUAGCGUUGCUCGGAAUUACUGGGCGUAAAGCGCGCGUAGGCGGAUCGUUAAGUCGGGGGUGAAAUCCUGGAGCUCAACUCCAGAACUGCCUUUGAUACUGGCGAUCUUGAGUCCGGGAGAGGUGAGUGGAACUCCGAGUGUAGAGGUGAAAUUCGUAGAUAUUCGGAAGAACACCAGUGGCGAAGGCGGCUCACUGGCCCGGUACUGACGCUGAGGUGCGAAAGC